GUGGGGAAUAUUGGACAAUGGGCGAAAGCCUGAUCCAGCCAUGCCGCGUGUGUGAAGAAGGUCUUCGGAUUGUAAAGCACUUUAAGUUGGGAGGAAGGGCAGUAAGUUAAUACCUUGCUGUUUUGACGUUACCGACAGAAUAAGCACCGGCUAACUUCGUGCCAGCAGCCGCGGUAAUACGAAGGGUGCAAGCGUUAAUCGGAAUUACUGGGCGUAAAGCGCGCGUAGGUGGUUUUGUAAGUUGGAGGUGUAAUGCCCGGGCUCAACCUGGGAACUUCCUCCAAAACUGCAUGACUAGAGGACGGUAUAGGGUAGUUGAAUUUCCUGUGUAGCGGUGAAAUGCGUAGAUAUAGGAAGGAACACCAGUGGCGAAGGCGACUACCUGGACUGAUACUGACACUGAGGUGCGAAAGCGUGGGGAGCAAACAGGAUUAGAAACCCGAGUAGUCC
rnacentral:rRNA from 1 species